rnacentral:ncRNA from 1 species
UUCUUAUCCAGAGCAGGCGGAGGGACUGGCCCGAUGACGCCCGGCAACCGGUAUCCAUGGUGAUACACGGUGCUAACUCCUACAGGAAUACACCAAGUUUCAUGGUUCCUGAAAGAUAAGAG